GACAGAGGGUGCAAACGUUGUUCGGAAUUACUGGGCGUAAAGCGCGUGUAGGCUGCUUCGCAAGUCGGAUGUGAAAGCCCUGGGCUCAACCCAGGAAGUGCAUUCGAAACUGCAGAGCUGGAGUCCUGGAGAGGAAGGCGGAAUUCUCGGUGUAGAGGUGAAAUUCGUAGAUAUCGAGAGGAACACCGGUGGCGAAGGCGGCGCUCUGGACCGAGACUGACGCUGAGGCGCGGAAAGCGUGGGGAGCAAACAGG
rnacentral:rRNA from 1 species